rnacentral:lncRNA from 1 species
GGGGGGGAAAUCAUAUCACAAAAUCAAAGUCUCUCACACUCUUAAGUUCUAAUACAGAGAUGGAGCAAGCUAGUAUUUGCGGAGCUGUGGCUUUGAUUCUCUUCAUUGCAGCGCUUCUCUCAAUGACAGCUGUCGUCAGUGCACAGGAUGUCGACCUGGCGCCGUCGCCAAGCAUGGACGCCGGAGCUGCGUUCCCGGUGACUGUUUCAGGUGGUUUUGUUUGCUCCUCACUCUUCUUCUCAGUCAUUACUCUACUAUUGCAGUAACAGGUUCUUGAGAGACUUGAGAGACUCAGAUUUUUAUUUUAUUUUAUAUUUAUUUUUAUUUUUAUUAUUAAGAUAUUUAUUACUUUUGAAAAUUUUGGCAAUUUUUUUAAUUGCUAUUUGGUGGGAGUGAGAAUAUUAGUUUUAAUAAUUCGAUUAUUUUUCCUCUAAUCUUUGGUUAGGGUUGUAUUUUCUUUUUAUUUUUUUUACGGUCUUGAUAUUAUAUUAUAUUUUAAUUAUAAAAAUUGGAAUUAUUAUUUAUCAUUUUGCAUCUCUCUUUAAGUAUAUUUAUCAUUGGGCUAUUAUAAGUAUUGUUAAUUUUAAGUAUAUUUAGUACAAUCGACUUUAAAUAAGAAAAAAAAAUCUAUGUGGGUGGUUAAAAUCUAAAAGUUAAUUGAAAAUCUAUUGCAAAUUAAUAAUUCAAAAUCCGUGUCAUUAUUUUAAGGCAAAAAUUUCUCAAGAAAAAUUGAACUGGGAUAGUUUUAUGUAGUUUCAUACUUUCAAUUUCAAAUGGACCGGUUUAGUAAUUAGACUAUCUACUUAUCUUGUAGUUUUAUGUAGUUUCAUACUUUCGAUUUCAAAUGGGCCGGUUUCAUAAUUAGACCAUAUACUUAUGUUGUAGUUUCAAUUUCAAAUGGGCCGGUUUAAUAAUUAGACCAUCUACUUUCAUCAUACUUAUCUUGAAAUUCAAAUCUUUCCUUACAUACUUUUUGUGCUUUUUCCAAAAUCUGAUUUGGAUUCAACCAUAUCUGUUUUUCUUUUUCUGUUUUUUUUUUUCAGGUUUCAUUUACACCAAAUUUUCUCCAUUAUGUUAGAAAAUUGAUGGGUGAAGCAGACACGCAACUAAAAUAAAAUUGGAAGAAAAUAAAGAAUAAGUACAAAAGAGGACACUAGAAAUUACAUGGUUCGGCUUUUAGCUUACGUCCACAGGCGAAGACAGAAGGAAAAUAUUUCACUAGUGAAAUAAGAAUUACAAGUAUUGUAAUAUUUUGGCGGACUAUCCAAAACCUCAAUACACCAAAUCUCUCACUCACUAAUUACACAAGAGUAUUAAAAACUCUUAAUC